rnacentral:rRNA from 1 species
UAAUACCAGCAGCUCAAGUGGUGAUCGUUUUUAUUGGGCCUAAAGCGUCCGUAGCCUGUUUGGUAAACCCUUGGGUAAAUCGGGCAGCUUAACUGUCCGAAUUCUGAGGAGACUGCCAGACUUGGGACCGGGAGAGGUCAGAGGUACUCUUAGGGUAGGGGUGAAAUCCUGUAAUCCUAAGAGGACCACCAGUGGCGAAGGCGUCUGACUAGAACGGGUCUGACGGUAAGGGACGAAGCCCUGGGUCACGAACCGGAUUAGAUACCCGGGUAGUCCAGGGUGUAAACGCUGCGGGCUUGGUGUUGGGGGUCCUACGAGGGCAUCCAGUGCCGGAGAGAAGUUGUUAAGCCCGCCGCCUGGGGAGUACGAUCGCAAGAUUG